GGCCCCGCCCUUGGAUCCCUCCGCCUUAAAGGAGUGGCUGCGGGCCACGCACCUGCCGCCGCCCGCCCACCUUGACGUCAUGGAGUAGGACAUGUCCCCCCUCAAGAUGAGCAGGGAGCAUGCAUAUGCAAUUAGGGAUGUAUCUGCGGGCGAAUACCCUACGGACUGCCUCAGAAAACUCAAGGUAGGCGCUUCCACCCCCCCACCCCCCAAGAGUCCAGAACUCAGGGGACUGAAAGAGAAUGGAGGUGGCCAACUCGGCUGCCAUUUCCAGACCCGAUCUUACUAGAAUGUUCCCUACAAAUCGCACAUCAAGAGAAAAGGAUGAUAAAUUCCUUGUCCAACUUUAAGGAGGCCCCCGAUUCCCCCAUCCCCACCCUCCCGGGUACAGCACAGCUUCAGGCUGGGAGCCGCUUUCCCCGAGGGGAGGGGCACGGGCCUGGGCUGGUAGGGACUCUUUGGCGGCCUGCGGCGGAAGGAUCAGCAGCGGUGGUGCUGCGAUUUCUUCCAGCAGUUUCUAGGCCUGUCUCGGCGGUCUCCACCCCUCCCCCCUAGGCUCCACCUCCCCUGCUGCGGCGGGGGCAGUGUCUUCGUCGCCGCUUGGCUGGGUGGCUUUUUUUUUUUUUUUUUUUCCCCUACCUUGAUCUUACCCUGGGAAGAAAUUUUCCCCAAGUCUGCCUACCGUGGGCCAGGGUUGAACGACCCUCCACGCGUGGCCCUAAGAGGCCCACAUAACAGUGGGGGAGUGGAGCGCAGAGGGAGGGAUAGCUGACCUGGAUCGGUCACAGGGCACGGGGGCUGUGGGGGUGAGUGACUGCGGACACCUUCUAGUGAACAGAGAACCGAGCUAGCAGCUUGCGCUACUGGGUAGAACACUCCCCACCCCUCAGCCUCCCCGGUCUCCCACGUACACAGCGCGCGGGUACGUGCGCCCUCCCUAUGUGAGCACAAGCUGUUUCUCAAGCUGGUUUCGCUUCUCUAGCCUCUUCCCUACUGCAUGCAGCUCUUUGGACCUAGAGAGGAGCAGGUCCCAGUCUUUUCAGAGAAGCUGGAGUUCUAGGCAUCCGCAUGAAGGUGCUGGUCACAGGUUGGCCCAGUUCCAGGAGCCAGAAAACCAAGUUGUGCCAGUGCCUCUGUUCUAAAGGUGGCCUGCCAUGUCCUUCAGCUGGCAAUCUAGCCUUGCCUUUUUCCAAGGCUGCAUCUGGAAGCUUGUUGGACUGAUGAGCCCUCCAGUAGAGGAUGGGCACUCAGUGCUCUGCUAUCUUAGCUCAUGCUGGCUUGUGUCCCCACACCACCGCCCACACCUUUGUUCCCGGUGCUUGCCUGCAGUCUGUCUAAUGUGCAUUCAUUGUUAAACAGUAGUUGCUUUCUCCUUG